rnacentral:rRNA from 1 species
UACGUAGGGUGCAAGCGUUAUCCGGAAUUAUUGGGCGUAAAGAGCUCGUAGGCGGUUUGUCGCGUCUGCUGUGAAAUUCCGAGGCUCAACCUCGGGCUUGCAGUGGGUACGGGCAGACUAGAGUGCGGUAGGGGAGAUUGGAAUUCCUGGUGUAGCGGUGGAAUGCGCAGAUAUCAGGAGGAACACCGAUGGCGAAGGCAGAUCUCUGGGCCGUAACUGACGCUGAGGAGCGAAAGGGUGGGGAGCAAACAGG